CCGCCCUCCCUCUCCCAUUACAGGUGUGUUAACUUGGGCGCUUCUUGGAUUCUACCCUGAGGAGGAGGCGCGUGGUGAGAGGAGAGCUCCACCAGCUGCGCGCUCGUGUAUGCCGUCCGCGCCCGCUUGGACGCCGCAGACCCCGGGGGGCUCUUGUCCCCUCCCCCGCUGCUACCGCCCCCGCCACCACUGCCUCCUCCUCCGCCGCCACCGCAGCCCUCCGCUGGAUCCGAGGGGGAGGGGUGGGAAGAGGAGAAAAUGAAAUAAAAGAUAAUUACUGAACACGC